AGAGUUUGAUCAUGGCUCAGAGCGAACGCUGGCGGCAGGCCUAACACAUGCAAGUCGAGCGGCCGUAGCAAUACGGCAGCGGCAGACGGGAGAGUAACACGUGGGAACGCGCCCUUUGGUUCGGGAUAACUCAGGGAAACUUGRRSYWAAUACCGGAUAAGCCCUUACGGGGAAAGAUUUAUCGCCAAAGGAACGGCCCGCGUCCGAUUAGCUAGUUGGUGAGGUAACGGCUCACCAAGGCGACGAUCGGUAGCUGGUCUGAGAGGAUGACCAGCCUCACUGGGACUGAGACACGGCCCAGACUCCUACGGGAGGCAGCAGUGGGGAAUAUUGGACAAUGGGCGCAAGCCUGAUCCAGCCAUGCCGCGUGAGUGAUGAAGGCCUUAGGGUUGUAAAGCUCUUUUAGCAGGGAAGAUAAUGACGGUACCUGCAGAAAAAGCCCCGGCUAACUUCGUGCCAGCCGCCGCGGUAAUUCA
rnacentral:rRNA from 1 species